ensembl:lncRNA
CUCCUCUCUCUCUCUUUCUGUCUUUCCUGACCUACAAAUACGUUCCUCUGUGUUUCCACACCCUCUUUCUACACCCUCUUUAGUAGGCUAAAAUACCUGCUCAUUCUUCCAUAAAGUUUCUUCAGACUCCAGCCUAGUCCAGUCUCCACUGUGAUAAGCUCCGGUAGACUCUUGUACUUCUCCUUUCAUAAUAUCCCCCUGUUUAUCAUUACCUGUUCACUACUGCCUCUCCCGUUGACAGAGGCUCAGGGAGCGCAGGCGUUCCUGUCUCGUCCCUGCUGUUUCCUCCACUUCUGGUCCAGCGCCUGACACUUAGUGGAACUUCAUAAAUAUUCACAGAACAAAUGAGCUUUUAUUAUCAUGCCAUCUGUUCAGAAUGUUUUCCAUUUAAGAAAAAGAUAAGAGCCCCAACAAUCUCAGUGUUAAGCAGAGCCAAAAUAAAAUGUUUUCAGAGUUGUGCUAGCAAUUCUAGAAAAAUUGGGCUUCCGUCGGGGUGGACGGGCAGAUUUCCACAGAUGUCCUUGGGAAAUGACGCAGGAAGGUAACCGGCAGGCAGAGGGGAGGGCCCGGGCCCUGUGACAGAUCAGGUAACAACCGAGUGGGGAUGGGGGCAGGGGUGACGCUCCUUGCCCCACACCAUCCACUGCUGGCACCCCGCGCCUCACCCCCCAGCCUGCCUCAGAGGAGCCGCUCCAAGGACACCCUGGAACAGCAAACAUGGGAUUUUGUUUGCAGACUUGGCUGAGCAACAAGGCCUCUCCCUGACCUUCUCCCUGCAUAGUCAUAAAGGGAAAGAGCCUGUUUAAAGUGCAAUUGCCUGAGGUCCCCCUCCAUAUUGCCACCCUGAGGGAGCAGCUCAGCUGGGCCUCGCCUCCAGGGAGGGGCAAGGACACUCCCCAGAGCUCAGCCCUCGGCACUUUACCCCAGGGCAGGCGCCUUUCCCGGGAGGGAAGGCCAGGCCCUCUGGGUCACUAGGAAUCCCUCCCCGGACAGGGGCUGGGCUGGGCUGGGCAGCAGCUGCCUUUGUGAAGGAGCCUGGGACCCGCCGGUUAUCUUAGCUGAUGGAAAGCUGUUUGGAGGAUGUGCAGAGAACGAAGGGAAGCCACCUAGGACAUCACCCAGGGUAGAAGAGUAGCUCUCCCCAACCCCGUCCCCACCCCAUCUCACCCGGCGUUUCCCGAGUCCUUCUCUGGGAUUAUCAGACCCGAUAAUCGAGGUUUCUCCAUCGUGACGGUGACGCAGCUCUUCCCUGUCUCCACUCCUGUUACUCCCCUGCCUUGAGCGUCUGCGGCCUUGUCUCUGUGGCUCUUUGCUUCGGUCUCACCCUACUGUAGUGUCCCUCCCCGUGUCUCACAGCGGAGUCUGAUGGGGUCAGCCUGUCAGCAUGACUCUCAUGCCAGACCCCCUCCAAGGCCAUUGGCCCAGCAGUGGGAAGCUGCCCCGGAACUAGGGACUCAUUCCUGGCUCAAUCAAUUAUAACUGGAGCCACACGUGCAGAACGGGUCAACCGUUCAUUCACUGGACACGUGGAGCACAUCUUCUAUGGAGACUACAGCAACGAGAUAAAAACCACACAAGCCUCUGUCUUCAUGAACCUCAUGUUUUACUGGAGGCUGGGAGGACUGGCAAGAAACGAAAAGGAAAACAUAGGAUAGAUAUUGAUUCAGCUGGUGGAGAAAACAAAGCAAGACUGGGGUACAGGGAGUGAGGGAAACAGGGGCAUGUGCCACUUUCAGAUGAGGUGUUUGGGAAGGUCCAUGUGGGAGAACGGCGUCUGAGUCAUUAAGGACACAAAGAAAGUGAGACUUCCGAGAAGGAGCACUCACAGGGCCCUGGCAGACAUGACAAGUCCCUGGAGACAUGGCUGUGACGCUUAUAGAGACACGGUCAGCACCUAGAAUCACAGGGAGGCCGGGCCGUCUGGGGCCUCACAGAUGACAGGGCAAAACCUCCAGAAAGUACACAGUGCGCUCUAUGGUGCUUGCUUGAGUCUGAGAAGGGCCGGAGCACAAGGGGUGUUUCAGAAGGGAGCCUGAGGGCCGGCACCCACACUCUGUCUCUGCCCCAAAGCCCCACCUCGGGAGCAAGGAUGCCCCGACUUCCAGUUAGGAAUGCUCCAAUUCAAUGGGCCUUAACGUCUAGGGAACGUCAGAAUCGCCUGCACUGCUUGUUAAGUCGUGCAGGUCGCAGGGCCCAUCCCCAGUGGUUCCGAUCCAGUAGGUUCAGGUGUGGGGCCGGAUCAUGGCAUUUCCAACACUCCCCUCACGUGAUCCUUGUACACCUUCCACACUCUGAGCAGCGCUGCUUGCAUUUGCCCUCUCAUGACUAACUCUCAGCCCCUCCAGCUUUGCUCUUCCCUCUGAAAUGACCUGCCUCCUCUUCUGUUUCUCCUUCAAAGCCCAGCUGGGGCCACUUCCUGGAAGACGCCUUCCCUGACUUCCAAGGCAAGGCCCUUGGUGCCCUCCUCCGAGUAUUAGCCCCUUAGAUUUUUAUCAUGUCUAAUUGCUGCACUCACAUCUAUCUGCCUUUUGGAUUACAAGCCUCUGAGGACAACUUCUCCAGUUCCUACUUGCAGUAGGUCCAGGAAAAAAGACCAUGGGAAAACGAAAGAGUGCUGUUGGAGAGUGAAAAGUGUAAGCACUGCCGUAAUGGGCCUGUAAGACCGACUUGUUAGCUGACGCCACCUGGGAGAAGAGGCUUUGAGACACAGAGCAGGAUCAGCGGGGUGAGUCUGAAAGCAGAGGUGGGUCAGGAGGUCCCUUGGCACCAGCUGCUUGUGACAAAGGGGCAGGAAGAAGGAAGCCAAGGAGGGAAAAGGAGGUGAGGCCAGAACAGGCAGAGCAACAUCUCUGGCUCAGCCAGGGGUGUGCGCCCCAAGGGAAGAGGCAGCGGCCUCGCACUACCCCCAGCCCUUGGCGGCUACAGGGGAAUAUGGGCCUCACUGGCCAGACUUUUUUAUUUUUUAUUUUUGGAUAAACCAACCAGCUUUUUUGUAUGUCAGCAACAAAUUUAAUAAUUUUUAAACACUCGUGGGCCUGCACAGUACAAGCUAAAUGAAAUAUCUAUGGGCCCCCUUCAGCCACCAAGAAAAAUGAAGGAAGAGACUGCCAAGGCCAUAUUUGCUUCCGGGGCAGCUAAAACCCUGGAUUGCCAGCUCAACACAGAGUAUUUAAACAGUGAGAGGGCUUAAUCAAACCCUUUGAGUUCCACCCACAAUAGUAAUAGCCUCUUUGCAGCUCAGUUCCCUAGCUUGACCUUGAAAACAGUUUAAAGUUCAAUCCAUUCUUUUCUCUUUUCCCUCUUCUUCCAGCUCAAACAAAACUAAAUCACAAGUCUUCCUAGGAAACUCUCUCUGCAGAGGCAGCACUUAAUUCUAGAGAAGACCUUUGCCUCCAUGUCAUUAGUCAAGAAGGUUCCAGAUGGGUUCCCGAGCCAGCAAUGUUUUGAACUUGGACAAAAGCCCUGAAUGACCGUGGGCAAAGUAUCUAGCCUAUCUGAUUUCCUUCUUUUCCUAGUUAAGAAAAACUAUUAUACUGGAUGGGGGAGGGGGCAGAGCACAAAACCAAGAGGGCCAGAUCACUCAUCUUCCAGAUGCCAUGCGCCUCCGUUUGCUCCUCCGUGAUGUCAGGGGGUCAGGCUGCAGGCACUGGGUGCGAAGGGUCCCUGACACCACUCUCCUCUGCGGAACACAGGCAGACCCUCUGGCAACAAUGUGAAAUGGGUAACAUUUGACUUCUUCAAGCUUCAUCCCACCUCCCUUUACCUGUUGCCCUGGAGCUGAACUCUGGAUGCCCCAGGACACUUGAGAAAGAAUCCUGGUGUUUUACUAACUGAUAUAGCAAGAUAACUCAUUUCAACUACUCCUGAGACAGAUGGCCUCUGAAAACAAUCAUUUUUAAAAUAAUGUUGAGACUUCCCUGGUUGUCCAGUGACUAAGACGCUGGCUCCCAAUACAAAGGGCCUGGGUUCGAUCCCUGGACAGGGAACUAGAUCCUGCAUGCCUCAACAAAGACUGAAGAUCCCAUGUGCUGCAACUAAGACCCAGCACUGCCAAAUGAGUAAAUAAAAAAUAUUUCGAAAAAUAAAAUAAUAGGCUUAAAAAAUUGUUUUACCAGGUCUAGUAGUUUUCCAGUGUCAUCUUUUGUUUUACAUGAAAGAAAAAACUCUUCUUGGUUUAUUAAAAAAACAUUUUUCAUUAGAUGGCCUCAGUUUUGUUUUAAU